AGAGAAGCCAUUCGCCUCCUGGGGCCUCCAUGGAGUGAAUGCCUUUAAGAUGACAAGAGCUGGGAUGUAGGAGGAAGGUCAUUUUCUCUCCAAUCUCACACUAAGAAAACGACUAUACAUCCAGGUUAUUCUGAACCUUGGAAAAAAACAGAUUGCUCUCUGCUGGAUAAGUGGUGGCCAAGAGAACCACGUGUGCUGGUGGAAAAGCGCUGGACCUGCUGCCCAGCACCACAGCCGACAGCAGCAAAUGGCCAUUGAACACUUCAAAAUGCGGGGACUCUCGCCCAUUUCCCACAGACCUAUAUACCCCGCCUGCAAACCUGACGGAAAGGCCCACACACCACACCAGAGAGAUGUGGAGGGACGGAGCAUUCAUCAUAGACAGCAUUGGAGCCCCCGUCCCGGAACCCUGAGCAUGCCUGCAGGUUAUCAGUGGAUGCCUCACCUUAGAAAAGUCCCGUAAAACUGAGGAAGAUUGUGGGAGGUAUCCUUGGGGGUCAUCUAGACCAGCACUCCAGCCUGCCCCAAAUCUACAGAUCAAAAAAGCAAAGUCCAGAGAAGUAACGUCUCAAGGUCACAUAAGUCAGUCCCUAUCAACAACAGCACUAAAAUCAAGGCUUCCUAAAACCAGUCGGAUCAUUGUUCCAUUAUAGCAUAUGGUAAUUCUUGUUAGAUGGAAAACAGAAAUAUUUAGAAAGUCCUAGGAGGGUCUUAUUUCUUGAAUGGAAAGUGAAGAUUUGACAUUCUUUAAGACUGCUGGUCAACUCCAGACAAGCUGUAUUAAAUAAUGAAGUGGGAACAGAGACUGUGAAAAAUCUAAGGGGAGGAAAAAAAAAGAAUCUUUAAAAAAAUGCUAUAUAGAUUUCAAAGCACUUAGAAUUACUAUUUUCCUUCCAUAUCUUUGGCUCCUUCUUCUAUUCUGGGUCCUAGUCAAAUGUUAGUUUUACUGGAGUGUUCUAUCGAGGCCAAAUUAACACCCAAACUGGAAUUAAUACUCACCUUUGUUCGGCAAAUUCAGACUCCCAGACGUCACAGAGGUGCUGAACACAUUUUAACACUCAGGGACAUUUACACCAGAGAAAUGCAUCAAUUUACAAAAAAGUAUGAGCCUCAAACGUGUACACCCAAUCCAUAUUGGCGGCCAGAAAGCAGUUUCUCUCCACCCGCCUCCUCUUCCUCCACUCCCUCCAUCCUGCUGGACCUCCCGUGCACUGGAUUACCCGGCCCACUCUGGGACUGUUGCAGCACGAGCAACUUUGGUGCCAUGCUCUUAAUUCCUCAAACGCCGUUACCUCUCUUUAUGCUUAGCCCCAAGGUGGGAAGAAGGAAAUAAAUCUUGUUCCUUGUGGGAUGUCACAUCCUCUGGCGUUCUGGGACCUUCCAUGCCAGGCCUCCAAGCCCUGGUGCGCCAAGGCUCAACAUGGCUGAAUACAGGGUUCUAGUUCAUCUUGGCAGAGACACGGACUUUCCACACACAAAUUAACAUUGUUUCAUCUCAUUUUGACACCAUAAUGUCUUUUCCAUACACCUGCUCUGACAUUUUCAUGAAAUCAUUGCAUCCCAAUCAACUGAGUAGGGAAUUAGCAUUGUUACACCAAACAUUCUGAAAAGUGUGGGUUAUUUUUCAUAUCUAAAUAUCUCAUCCCCAUAUGCUGCUUUGGAAAGAUAAACUCAAGAUCUAACAUACUGCAAAUUUAAAAUUCUAAAAUAUGCAUAUUUGAUUUUACAAUCCCCUUAUUGGCAACACGUGCCAUGCAAAGCUGUAUUCAUGCUUGGGUAGAUGGGUAACUUUUAAAGUAAAUCAAAUCUAGGAUUUCAUAGGAAAUGAACCCCCUUUUAAUGUUUCAGCAUUUUAAAAUUAAGAAAUAUUCCUGGAUUGUCAUUCCUGACAUUACAAAUAGUAAUUAUUCUUCUUGUGAUUAAUAGCAAUGAUAGUAUUUCUGGUUUCUAAGAUGUUUCUGCAUACCUCCUAGAUGGAGGUAUAAUAAACUCAAUACAAUUCGUUUAUUAUGGAUUUCAUUUCCAUACAGAAAACUGAGGCUCACAGAUGCUGCAUGUGGUAUGUAAGGCACCAGCUCUAAUGGGGAAAGGAGGGAAUAGAACUUCAAUCUUUUGAUUUCCAAACUACCAUAUCAUAAAGCACAUGAGACAAUAACCCUCUCAGAAAGUGACUUUGCAUACUACUAUUCCUAAUUGUUGCUUAAAUGAAUCUUAAAUACUUUUUUUUAACUUUUUAUCAGUGUCAUUUUGUGAUCCAAGAAAUAGCUAACCAAAAUCAGCUAUGUGUGGGCUCUGGGCAGUUAACUGAAUGCUUGGAAGGGCCCACGUUAAACAGAUUUUUGUCAAAUAAUGUUGCCACCACAUAAGGUGACAUGAAAAAGGCUUUUAUGUGAAGUCUCAAACUGUAGUGCCCCCUAUGUGUGCUGUGUGGGAAAUGCCUAGGAUUUGCUGAUAAACAGGAAAAGCAAACAGAAAUUGUUCUCAUCUGUGUAAAAUGGCAAGAAUACUUAGUUUGCCAGGGUAAAAACGUGCAUUUAACAAAUUUGAAACCAAUGUUCCUCUAUCUAAAUGCCUAAUUACUUACACGUUUUCCUCAUUCCCCGCAAACGAUCCUCACUCUACAAGAACUUAGCUAAAUGUUGUUUUUUUCCUAUUAACUCUCCCAAAUGAAAUGAUAAAUAACCUUUAUGAAUUCAUUUUAACCAAACACACUAAAGUAUUAUAACACAUGACAAUUCAUUUGAUAUCUGUGUUUAUAUUUCCACCUUCCCCACUCCCAAAAUUUAGCCUAUUAAAUCCUUGAGGGCAGAGAUAGUAUGUUAUAAUUUUCAAACCUCCAGAAAUUAGCACUUGUUAAAUAAACAAAUUUAACAAAACAUCUUCCUCACCUCCAAAUAUCUCCCUCAAUUUAUACUAGGCAUGUAGAAAAACUAUUAAAUCAAUAUAUAUUCAAAUCAAUUCAACAAAUACUGAUUUGCACAUCUAGUUUAGAGAUGCAGUGUGACCUCCAUACUUUUUCUCAUAAUGCAAUAGCUUUUCUGCAUUUUACAAAAUACUUUAAGAUAUUUACCUAUUUUGAAAACAAGUUGAUAUGGAUGCACCUGACACUUAGACAUAAGACAUUCUGCAAAGAAUACCAGAGCGAGAGAUGGAUUCAUUCUUCAAAGAUCAUUCCAACCUUAGUUUCUCCUCCAAGCUCAAUUAGUGGAAUUUUAUGGAGCUUAAGGUGUUGGCACUCAGGAGAACAAGCAUGGGGAAUUUUGUUUCAUUUUGCAUAUAACCCCAUUCAGGCCUAUUUGCUCUGCUGAGCAGUUAACUCCUCAUGCCUCUGGUAAUUCUAAUGGAUGUACACUUAAUAGAAUUAAUAUUUUUGUGACUGUAAAUGGUUCCACCUUCUUAAAGUUUGCCAUAAAUAGCCAAGUACUGAAGAAAGGAACAUGUUUUUCUUUAGGUGCUAGACUUUUUAAAAAAUUGUGGAUAUUAAAAAUAGAACACUCACCACUGAGUAUCAUCAAUCAUUCUCCCAAUUCCAAUGAGAUUAUUUCCAGAUUCUGGUGUGGACAACAGGUUUGGGGCUGAAGGAAGCACAUAACCUACAUUUUCACACACACCUGGUGGGAAGAUUGAUCCUCAGCUGAUCUAUGCUUUUCCUAGUGACACCAUGUGAUGCAUCAUCAGUAACAGUCCCAUUGCUGGCCAGGUCCACCCAAGGUCCUUAGGCUGUACAGAUACCCACCACAAUCUCAUACAUAAGGAGAGAAAAUAGGAUGUCCAAAUGAGUCAUGAUGAGCCUACACUGAAAGCGUUUUGUGGCCCCAACCAUCAGUUUCUCCAGAAAUAAGUCUGCUACAAAGUGGAAGGUCCUGCUUGCUUCAUUUCCCAACUCCCUCGUCAUGUGCUCUGAGGGCUGUGAAUGCUUUAACAACAUCCCAGCCCCGAAAUGCAGUGGAGCCAGUUUCCAAGGAAGAACAGCAGCAGUCGACCCCUAACAACAGGGCACAGGUAACGGAUAAAAGCUCACCCCGAUUUCCAAGUCGCCAAAAGAGUGAUCACUGCUAGGCUUUUACCUCUGCUCAGGGUUCCAUUUCCAUGUGUUUAAGAGGUUAUCGAGGUUUUUUUAAUUCCAAUGGGUUGGCAGGGGAAGUUGUCGGGCUUUUCAGUGACGAAAACUCCUCUGCAUGUGUGCCCAUAAAACAUUAAAUGAGAAAUACAGUUGCUAGAAUGCCCAAGUUAGAAACUGAGAGCUAAACAUCACAAUCCGGAUGUUCCCCACGCAUUGGGACGAAACCUCUUGGACAAGAUGCUGCACUUAGGAGCCUCAGUUCUUCUCCUGCAGAUACUCCACCUCAGCCACUUCCGACCCGCCCGACUAUCAACAUUACAGGGCUAGGUUCCGUUAGUCAAUAUUUAGUGAGAAAAACUCUAAAAAACGGCGAUGAAUUGGAGAAAAUCUUCACAAUCUAUACCUCCAACAAAGGACUAAUAUCCAGAAUCUACGAGGAACUCAAAGGAACGGUGAACAGUUUUAAUCACCAUUAUUACGCCCGUACUUAGCCGGAAGUGUGUCUGUCCAAUUCCCAUCCGGCCGGACUUCAGACUGACUUCCUUUCAGGCGUUCUGGAGAGAAUGCGCGUGCCCUUCUCUCCGGAUUCUGUGUACCCGGAAUCUCAUUAGUCUACUGAUUGGGAAUCGCAAGCAUCAGCCAGGCACAAUGGCAGCUGAACACUGAUUUGGUAUCAACGUGUUUGUGCUGAAUCCCUCAUAAACUGGGAAGAUGUUUCUUUCUUAGGAUCCCUCGCAGACCACAGCUUCCUCACAGGUACCCGAUGGAGAGACAAGAAGUGUACACAGCUGACAUCCAGCCUUCUCUCUGGCUGAUUCAGGCGCUGAAAGCCACGUGGUCAUCACGGUCUUCUGAAGAUUAUUAAUGAGAAAGCCACUUAGAACAAAGCCGUCCACAGUUAUAGUUCUUUCAUCUUGAAAACUAACAACACAAGGUCACUGCCCUGGAGGACUCCUUGAAAAACUGACACUUGUCCAUUAUGCAAAUUCUUUGUUGAUUGUUGUUGGGUCCAGAGUCUAGUUAUGUAGGGAACUAGAGAGAAAAAGAGAGAGAGAGAGGAGAGAGAGGGAGAUAGAAGAGAGAAGAGAUUUGAAACCCAUCUCACACCCUAAAUGUGGGCAGGCUUGCAGACAGAUAUCUUGGAACUACGAGGCUUUUCUUCUGGAAAAAUGUCCAACUGUAGCAGACAGAAAGGAAGCCAAGAGAGGGUGUUUACAGCAAGGAGGGGCUAUGAAAUAUCUUCACUCCAGGUUCUUUAUGAGCUGCAGUGUAUCAUUUUUAUCAGCAAUUGGAAGCAUGCUGCAUGUUUGACUCUGUGGACUCCUGCUUUACACAACAGAACAUUCCGAUGGUGUGCAUGUGCCAUACCCUGCCGUAACAAAUCUCAGCUGGUCCUCUGCUGUCCUCUGGGGAGAAUGCAUUUGAACUCAUCUCAAAAAGCUGGUUUUCUACCCUGGAGGUCUCCGAUGGCUACUGCGAGAAGAAAGCCAUGUCCCGAAAGCAGUGAUACAGAUUGGCAGCCACUGCAGAGAUGCAGAAUGUCGAAGAGUGUGUGUGUUGGAAUUCCUGGACAGACACUGCUCUGAAAGAAAAACCCUCUGGUUUUGGAAGUCUGGCUGGGCAAGGCAGGCGGAGGUCAUGGAGGGGCCGGCGUGAUGGAAUCCUCGGUGCAGCUGACUGCGCAGCCCGACACUGGCGUGGACACUGGGACGCGUCAUGCAACAUCCAACCAGAGCACACUCACGAGGACAAACAUGGGCCCACCUAUUUACCAUCAGAAAAACAAAAUCAUGCUCUUUCACUUUGAAAGAAGGGGGAAACUGGAAAGUUAUUAUUUGAAAUAAAAUGGAAUUUUAG
rnacentral:lncRNA from 1 species